UACGGGGGGGGCAAGCGUUGUUCGGAAUUACUGGGCGUAAAGGGCUCGUAGGUGGCCAACUAAGUCGCACGUGAGAUCCCUCGGCUUAACCGGGGAACUGCGUGUGAUACUGGAUGGCUUGAGUUUGGGAGAGGGAUGCGGAAUUCCAGGUGUAGCGGUGAAGUGCGUAGAUAUCUGGAGGAACACCGGUGGCGAAGGCGGCAUCCUGGACCAAUACUGACGCUGAGGAGCGAAAGCCAGGGGAGCAAACGGG
rnacentral:rRNA from 1 species